GCCAGCCUGGCCUCUGCAGCUUUCCCUCCCACAGUUUUUCCCCGCCCCGAGAAGGCAAACUUCUCGGAAUUCUGGCAGAGUCCGGCUGCCUGCUGAAGGAAUGGGGAGAGCCAAUGCUCGGGAAGGAUGUUUGACCAGGCCAAACAAACUAACGACUGGAUGGAGACCUUUCUGAAAAUCUCAACGCUGGUGCUAAUCCUCACCACCUGACCCACCCAUCCCACAAAGGAAGGAAUAUCCCUUAGGGGUACAGAUGGGGCCUGUUUGUAAAAGGUACUGAGCAUGGAUGCCCCAUGGAUCAGUAUGAUUACAUGCUAAUAUUCCAGGUAUCAGCACCAUAUUUGUAUCAUAAAAAAAAUUUGCCCAAGAUGAUGUGCAAUCUCAUAUGGGCUCUAUGUGUACCUUCACGUUAAACGUCCUUUCCCGUUGAUCAUGUUGUCAAGGAAAAUUGGAAGCAAUGGGAGGAACCACGGCAAAAAAAGAAAGAAAAUAAGAGAGAGAUCAAGGAAGACAGAGAGAGAGAGUGAGAGGUCCAAUUGUAUGCUGCCAUCAUCCUUCAUAUUCCAUGGUUGUUUUUCUCGUUAUGGAUAGCAUUUUCCAUCACGAGCUUUGUGGAGUUGCCUUAGAUGCUUCCAUUGCUAAAAAGAGGUUUUCCUGAAGGCCAAAGGCAGCUCACUCACCAUUCAAUGCAGUUCAUUUGUCUCAUCUUCCCGCUACCAUAUGGUUUGGGUGGAUUCCAAGUGUGUGGCAGGUGGAUGGAGGACAACUGCCAGACAAUAGGAUCCAAGCACGUGUGGUCAAGGCCCCCUCCUUGUCUCUAGCUUUCCAGGAAGGUUUUCAAGUGCAGAAUGGGACCUGAUUUCCCAGUGGAGGCUGCCUCCUUGAAGAAUGCUCUCCUUGAUAUGGCCCUUGGCUCACAUCCUUCUGGGGAUUGCAAUGCACAAAUGUUCUUCAGUGCACGGCCCACCUUUCUAACAUCUCAGUGGGUGAUGGCUAACAUGGCAGAGAAGUUGUAUUUGGAGCUGGAAAUCUUGUAUUGCUCUGGUGUCCCAAGCAUGUGAAGCCCAGGAGAAUGAGGGGCUGUCAUUUCCUCACCCAUUCUGGCACAACGGCUUUACUUCCGCACUGGGAUUGAAGCCCAGUUUCUGCCAUGCAAGCUCUUUACUUCCUAGGCCAUGGAGAGAUUCAUUGGAAUGGCCAGUACCCACAGGUGUGGGCAAGGAAGUGGGCUUGUGCUCAGGGCAUGUAGAGUUGUCCUGUGAUGUUAGGAAAGUGAAAUCUUUGCAGGUCUUGCUCUGCAUCCUUCCAUGUACCUGGAAGCAAUUCCAUGUCAUCUCAGGAAGCCCAAUGUCAGCCAGCCUCACAGUAGAGAACCUUCUAGAUGGAAAGAGUUUCAACCACUCCUUUGAUAGCCUUAAGCCAAGAGAGGUAUUCCUUGACAAGGCUCCAUAUUUCCAGAAAUGACAAAGACAGGCCCUCUGGCCUCCAAGUAUGGUCAUGGGUGAUUGUAUUAGGCUUUGCCCAGUGGCCUUUAUGCAUGUUAUGGAUAUCCUGCAGUCUGACAAAGUUUCUUGUAUUGAACUGCAUGUUGAAGGCAGCUUGUGUUGAAAAUGUAUUUUUUUUUAGUUUUUAGAAUUCAACUUUCGAUUCCAUAAGAUUUUGUUUUCCAAAUUUUCUCUGAAUUCCUCUCCUCCCCACAGCCCAAGACUGUGUGCUAUGUGAUAUGAGCUCUGCAUAUACCUUCAUGUUAAACAUCCUUUCCCUUUUAUUAUGUUGUAUAGAAGAAUUGGAAGCAAUGUCAGAAACCAUGUCCCCUGUAUAACUCUGAGCAGUGGGGUCUAAUCCAGAGUAUGGUUUUCCAUGUUGCCCUCAGAAUUUAAUCAUUUCUCAGGAAAGUAUAUGUUCUGGGAACCUGGCUAGUUCAUUGGAACAUGUCAAGUUUAUUCAUAUUCUCACAUGGUUUUAUUCCUCCAGGAACUUUUUUUGUUAGAGUCUCCAUUUAAAUUCUAAUUGAGAAUGCAGUCUUUACAUUCUCACCCAUGGUUUGGACACUCUUCCUGGGACUUUCCCAAUUGGACUCUGAAAUCUAUACCCCCGAAUAUCUCCAGCUUGUAGUGAGAGUGUUGGUGCUUCCCUGAAGUGGUGAUGUUUUCUUAUAUUAUUGCUAUCCUUCGUAUUCUUAGCUUGGUUAUAGUCAUAUUGUUAAGUGUAUGUUGCUGUAAAUCUAGUUUUUCUCUACUUGUAUUAUAAUCUUAAUUAAAGCUACCUUCACUGCUCUUUC